AUACUUACCUGGCACGGGAGGCACCAUGAUCACGACGGCGGUCCUCCCAGGGCGAGGCCUCCAUUGCACUCCGGUUUGGCUGACCCCUGCGAUCACCUCAAAUGCGGGUGACUCGAGUGCGUAAUUUUUACGUAGGGGGGACUGCGUUCGCGCUAUCCCCUG
rnacentral:snRNA from 1 species